rnacentral:lncRNA from 1 species
CAGGCCAAGUGGCAGCGUCUGACCGCCAAGGGCAGCGCCCGUCUGGACAUGUUUGAACACAUCAGCCUGAUGACCUUGGACAGUCUGCAGAAAUGUGUCUUCAGCUUCGACAGCAACUGUCAGGAGUCUCCCAGUGAAUACAUAGCUGCUAUUCAGGAGCUCAGCUCCCUCAUAGUGAAACGGCAUCACCAGCCCUUCCUGUACAUGGACUUCCUGUAUUACCUCACUGCUGAUGGGCGGCGCUUCCGCAAGGCCUGCGACCUGGUGCACAACUUCACGGAUGCUGUCAUCAGGGAGAGACGUCGCACCCUCUCCAGCCAAAGCGUUGAUGAGUUCCUGAAGUCUAAGACUAAGUCUAAGACUUUGGACUUCAUUGAUGUGCUCUUGCUGGCCAAGGUGGGCUUAUGUGAACUGAGACCUUAACCAAGAACGCUGACAUUAAAUGUCAGAUAGACGUUAGACUUGAUCAAGAGGAAGCAAUAGAUGGUGUUUAUAGUCACUGAGGACAGGGUACAGAGACUUUUAGAGGUGACUGUUGGACACUGUAUGAAGGAACAAACAACCUCAAACAAUUGAGGAAGAAACUGCAGGGCAGACUGUGGAGUGGAGAGGGAAGAUGUCCUGUGUGCCCAAUGGGUAUCAGAGCCUGUCUCAGAUCUGGAGUUCUCAGACACGGAACGAGUUGACAGUUCUGGUUUUUGUCUCCAGGAUGAACAUGGAAAGGAGCUGUCAGAUGAGGACAUCCGGGCAGAGGCUGACACCUUCAUGUUUGGAGGCCAUGACACCACAGCCAGUGCACUCUCCUGGAUCCUGUACAACCUGGCGAGGCACCCGGAGCACCAAGAGCGCUGCC